rnacentral:rRNA from 1 species
UACGUAGGGACCAAGCGUUGUUCGGAUUUACUGGGCGUAAAGGGCGCGUAGGCGGCGUGACAAGUCAGUUGUGAAAUCUCUGAGCUUAACUCAGAACGGUCAACUGAUACUGUUGUGCUAGAGUGCAGAAGGGGCAACCGGAAUUCUUGGUGUAGCGGUGAAAUGCGUAGAUAUCAAGAGGAACACCUGAGGUGAAGACGGGUUGCUGGGCUGACACUGACGCUGAGGCGCGAAAGCUAGGGUAGCAAACGGG